rnacentral:rRNA from 1 species
GACGAACGCUGGCGGCGUGCCUAAUACAUGCAAGUCGAACGGUAGAGAGAAGCUUGCUUCUCUUGACAGCGGCGGACGGGUGAGUAAUGCCUAGGAAUCUGCCUGGUAGCGGGGGAUAACGUUCGGAAACGGACGCUAAUACCGCAUACGUACUACGGGAGAAAGCAGGGGCCCUUCGGGCCUUGCGCUACCAGAUGAGUCUAGGUCGGAUUAGCUAGUUGGUGGGGUAAUGGCUCACCAGGGCGACGAUCCGUAACUGGCCUGGUAGGAUGAGCAGUAACACUGGAACUGAGACACGGUCCAGACUCCUACGGGAGGCAGCAGUGGGGAAUAUUGGACAAUGGGCGAAAGCCUGAUCCAGCCAUGCCGCGUGUGUGAAGAAGGUCUGCGGAUUGUAAAGCACGUUAAGUUGGGAGGAAGGGCAGUAAAUUAAUACUUUGCUGUUUUGACGUUACCGACAGAAUAAGCACCGGCUAACUCUGUGCCAGCCGCCGCUGUAAAAC